GACGAACGCUGGCGGCGUGCUUAACACAUGCAAGUCGAACGGAAAGGCCCGGCGUUUGUGGUGUGCUCGAUUGGCGAACGGGUGAGUAACACGUGAGUAACCUGCCCUUGACUUUGGGGUAACUUCAGGAAACUGGGGCGAAUACCGGAUAGGAUCUCCUGCUGCAUGGUGGGGGUUGGAAAGUUUCGGCGGUUGGGGAUGGACUAGCGGCUUAUCAGCUUGUUGGUGGGGUAGGGGCUUACCAAGGCUAUGACGGGUAGCCGGCCUGAGAGGGUGACCGGCCACAUUGGGACUGAGAUACGGCCCAGACUCCUACGGGAGGCAGCAGUGGGGAAUAUUGCACAAUGGGCGGAAGCCUGAUGCGGCAACGCCGCGUGCGGGAUGACGGCCUUCGGGUUGUAAACCGCUUUCGCCUGUGACGAAGCGUGAGUGACGGUAAUGGGUAAAGAAGCACCGGCUAACUACGUG
rnacentral:rRNA from 1 species